AGAUUGAACGCUGGCGGCAUGCUUUACACAUGCAAGUCGAACGGUAACAGGUCAAGCUGACGAGUGGCGAACGGGUGAGUAAUGCAUCGGAACGUGCCCGAUCGUGGGGGAUAACGCAGCGAAAGCUGCGCUAAUACCGCAUACGAUCUGAGGAUGAAAGCGGGGGAUCUUAUAGCAAUAUGGGGCCUCGCGCGAUCGGAGCGGCCGAUGUCAGAUUAGGUAGUUGGUGGGGUAAAGGCUCACCAAGCCGACGAUCUGUAGCUGGUCUGAGAGGACGACCAGCCACACUGGGACUGAGACACGGCCCAGACUCCUACGGGAGGCAGCAGUGGGGAAUUUUGGACAAUGGGCGAAAGCCUGAUCCAGCAAUGCCGCGUGCAGGAAGAAGGCCUUCGGGUUGUAAACUGCUUUUGUACGGAGCGAAAAGGCUCUCUCUAAUACAGGGGGCUCAUGACGGUACCGUAAGAAUAAGCACCGGCUAACUACGUGCCAGCAGCCGCGGUAAUACGUAGGGUGCAAGCGUUAAUCGGAAUUACUGGGCGUAAAGCGUGCGCAGGCGGUUUUGUAAGACAGGCGUGAAAUCCCCGGGCUCAACCUGGGAAUGGCGCUUGUGACUGCAAAGCUGGAGUGCGGCAGAGGGGGAUGGAAUUCCGCGUGUAGCAGUGAAAUGCGUAGAUAUGCGGAGGAACACCGAUGGCGAAGGCAAUCCCCUGGGCCUGCACUGACGCUCAUGCACGAAAGCGUGGGGAGCAAACAGGAUUAGAUACCCUGGUAGUCCACGCCCUAAACGAUGUCAACUGGUUGUUGGGUCUUUACUGACUCAGUAACGAAGCUAACGCGUGAAGUGACC
rnacentral:rRNA from 1 species